UAGAUUCAUGUAUAAGUGAAGUCAUACAGUAUUUGUCAUUGUCUGACUUACUUCACUUAGCAUAAUACUUUCCAGGUCCAUCCAUGUUGUCGCAAAUGGCAAGAUUUCAUUAUUUUUUAUGGCUGAGUAAAAGUCUAUCUACGUACCACAUCUUUAUUCAUCUAUUGAUGGACAUGUUGCUUCCAUAUCUUGGCUAUUAUAAAUAAUGCUGUGAUAAAUGUAGGUGUGCAUAUUUCUUUUUGAGUCAGUGAUUUUGUUUUCUUUAGGGAGAAAAACCCUUCUUGUAAUGGGAAUGCUAAACGAAGCAGGUGGAAGAACUAGCUAGGAAGUGUGCUUUGUAUAAAAGCCACAGUUAAAACAAUAUGUGACUGGUCAAAGUCUAGGUCUCAGAGGUCAGGCCAAGCUGGAGGACAAACAGAACCAGGUCCGAAGUCCAGGGAAUGGGGUAGCAAGAUCCAAAUUUGUCAUGAAGAACAGACACGCUCAGAUGGAACCAAUCUAAGGUCCGAACUAAGUGAGAGGGCACAGGGAGGAGACAAACGAGGCAGGAGGUCCUGUCCCAAGUGACAUCUGCAUGUCCCCGCUCAGGCUGGAGUUUAGGAGCCUGGGUGGGAGGAGGCAGGGAGCAGUCCUCAGAUGUACCUACCGUAUGGCCAGUUUUUGUGACGGCCGGAAAGCACCCACACAGUUCCCAAUGCCUCUGGGUGGGAGAAAACAACUCCCACUGAGAACCACUAAAACCUUCAUCUUCACUGGAAGGAAGGCAGGCCUAACGGGGUCAUCUGAGUCGCCAGAAUCACAGAAUGAAUUCAAGAGUCAGAAGAGAAAUGAGUCCACCACCUCCAGCAGCCUUGCUGGUUGGGAUGUCUGCGCCUCCCCGGGCCGGCUGAUUCCUGGAGAGCGAAGGACUCCACCUGCGAGCACGCUGAUUGAUGCCACCUUUGUGCCCCCAGCCACUUCCUUUCUGGAACUCACCAAACCAGGGUUUCCCCUGCCCUGAAUCAGGCAGCAGACACCUGGAGACCACCCCUACAGCCCACAGCCCUGCAGAAUUACUCCAGCUAUUCAAUCCUAAGCAUGUUCAAACCUGUCAGCCCUGCCUCACACAUCCCUUCCCUCAGAAACCACAGUAAGGGCUCUGAGCCAUACUUUCUCUGGCUCCUUCUGCCUCCCGUGCCCGACCUUGGUGCUUUCCGAGUGGCCCUGCAGGGUGUGGCUUGCCUCCUACUCUUGGGAAAUGUUAAGUGAUAAAUUUGCUUUAUCUCAAAGGCAGUUGUCUCUGUGUCUGUCACCUCACCACUCCUGAAUAAAACAAAUCCGGGUACAUUUUAGAACACCUUCCUUUUCUCCUUAUCCAUAAACAUUGUGAAGCUGCCUGGGGCCCUGAUUAGCUGCCCAACCUCAGCGUGCUUUCCCAGUUUAUAGUCACAUCUGUGUUGGGGCCGGUGUGUGUGUGUGUGCAGUUUUAGGAUCGCCCAAGCCCUGAGGCACUUGCUGUCUGUACACUGUGUGGACAAAAUACUUUUCUGUAAUACAGAAUACCCUUUGGGUAUUGCAACCUUUUUCCCCCUUCUUCUUCUUUAAUUGUCUCUUCAUGGUUUUUCCUUGUUUAAAAGAAGAAGAUAAUAAUCCGAGAUUUUGCUUCAUCAUCUUUGAAUAGCUGCAUGGAACAACAGGCCCCUGGAUUUUAUCUAACAAAAAUAUGUCUAAGGCUAGAGAGUGAAGGACUCCACCUACGAGCACGCUGAGGCAUGCCAUGUCUGUGCCCCCAGCCACUUCCUUCCUGGAACUCACCAAUGUGAAUCUUUCCCUAAGGCCCAGUGACUGGACAUGUAAAAGAUGUGUCAACCAAAGGCUGUGUUUGCUCUCUAAAACUCUGGCAGCUUAAAAAUAACUCCCUUUGAGAAAUAGAAAAGUGCCUGUUCACAAUGAGACUAGGAAACACAGGGGCUUCUAAGUAAAUGAGUGAUUCGCAAGCAAAGGAUAAAUGAAAUGAAAAUAGAACCCAGGGGAUUAAGUAUGUAUUAGAAAACAUUUUUCCUGCAAAAUAAGCUGGGUAGAUUUUUUUUUAAAUCACUAAUUUGAUAAAAUGCUGAAUUUAGAAAAUUCAGUCAAACACAAAUGAUCCCUGAGUAACAGCCUUAUACACAUCAGGCUCAGAACAAAAUUACCAAGUUCUUAGUAAUGUAAUGUAUGAUGAUGACACAGUAAGACAUAUCACACUGAGAAAUAAUUGUACUACUGGGCCUUGGUUCUUGGCUUGGCUUCAUUUGGUGUCAAUGAGCGUUCACUUAACUUUCUAGGCCCUACUUCAUCCACGAAAUGAAAGGAUUGUACUGGCUGAAUUCUUCCAGUUCUAAAACUCCAAUAUGUUAAUAAUUUACUGGGGAUUCCUUCUAUGACUAUUCCAAGCCCAUCUUUACUGAGGUCUUUAUAGAGAACUCCCUCACCACUAUAGAGACCUUUUCUCUUAAUUUGUUAGUGGUAUCUAACACUUUUGCUAUAUGUCAAAACACAGACCCAAGCAGACACAUGCCCUCACAUGUUAUAAUAAAGAAAUGAAGAAAAAGACUGAUGGUUAAAAUGGAAAACUCAUUGACAACAAUUUCUCUAAGCAAGGAAGGUAGGUGGUGUUGAGCAGUUCUGAAGCAAAGAAGCCUCUGCUUUGGUAGGCUCAGAAUUGUUAUCCAAGGUGGGAGUGACAGUUGACAUGGGUAAGUUCAGCCCUUGUUCUGGUUGAAUCUAAACCCCUUCUUUUGCCUGUGGAAUACUCUUUGGGAAUAUAGACUUUAGAGUUAAGCCACUGGGUUCAGAUCCUACCCUUGUCACACUCAACCUGUGUGACUGCAGAUAGUCUUCUAUUUUUUGAAGGUUCAGUUUCAUCAACUCUAAAACAGAACUAAUAAUAAUGCCUGCCUCAGAGAGUUACUGUGAGAAUUCAAUGAGGCAUGCAUGCAGAGCACUUCCCAGGGCCUUGAGCUUCCUGAUCAAGUAAGUGCUCAGGAAGUAGGACUUACUCUUAUUAUCACUUUCUUGGAUCUCAGUUCUGUGUCCUUAUGCUUUUCUAGGAUUAGGAAAACUAAAGAAAAAAUAAGAUGUGACUUAUAAAUAAUAUAACAGAAAUUGGGGAAAAUAGAGUGUUCAGUAUAAGAGAUGACUGAUUUUGCAAAUGUAGAAAGUAGAUCACAAUCAAGUUUAUAGAGGCAGAGAAACUAACUUAAGAAAUCACAGGUGUGGAUAAAAUGAAAGUUCCUGUGGGCAGGAUUCUCAUCUGGCCUUGGUUGGCUAGCUCACUACACUUGUGUGGGCAAUAUGUGGUUAUUGACUCUAUUAAAAAGAGCCCUGCCCAAUGCUCUGUGUGACACGGUGGCAUGGCUGCAAGGCUGCAGGAGAGCAGGGCAGAGGCUGAAGUGCUGGCAGCACCGAGGACAGAGACUGUGCAGGCCCAGAGGCCCAGUGGAUGGUUGUGCGAGCGGAAAGGCCCAAAGGCAGAGACUGGCCUGCUGCAUGCAGACAUGCUCUGAGUGAACGGGAUUCUAGUGGUUGACCUGCCACUAUGAGAAUAAAGUUGGGUAUAACCCUUUCAUCCCAAGAACGUUUUACUGUCAUUUCUUUUGUCACAUUGAAUCCAUAGUGAACUUGCCCAAGGCUGAAACCCACUGGCAAGACAACAGGUUAUACAAAUAAACAGUACCGGGUUGGGAAGGAACACCCUCCUCCUGGUCCUGUAUAACAGUAAUCAUGUGUUUCUAUUUUACCUCAGCUUGUUAAGUACUGCUUCUUUGUCUCCAGCAUUUCUAACAUUUCAUUCAACAUCUCUUUCAUUCCUGUUGAUACUGGAGAGAUCAUUUCAACUGCAAGGUCUCCUUAGCUUUAGCAAUGUGCGCUGUGCUGUCCAGCUCCCCUCGUUAGGACAGAGGCACUCAUUCCUCCCAUUGCUAAGAAUGCUGGUGGCUGAGGCCUGUCACCUGAGUGCUUGCCAGGAAUUGCACUCAGCUGAAGGCACCUCAUCAAGACCAUCCCCUCCCUGGGGUCUGCUUUCAUGGCACAGCUGGAGACUGCUUCACUAUCGGGCAUUCCAUCUCCGGAGCUCUUGGUGGGGCCGCACUGCAGUUCAGUCCCUCACUUCUGCCUCGUCCUCCUGCCCUUGCUCCCCCACAGAUGUUGAUCAUGUGAAUAUUUACCAAUAAACCUCCUGAUUCAAAUCCCCUUCCACAGUGUGUUUCUUGGAGAAUCACAUAAUGACGGUUGGUGCCAGUUCAUAAUUUAUCAAUGUAUCUCUUCCCCAAAUCUUUGUCUUUAGUCUUUGAUCUUUCUCCAUCCCAAACUCUGACCACUGAGCCCAAACUCUGACACAUGGUUAGUCUUCCCCCUCAUGCCAAUCAGGAUUAGGUUCAGCUGCAUAUAACAGAGAAAGCAGACUCCACAAUGAGAUUUUAGGGCAGGAUCACCUGCCAUCUGGCUGACAUUGAGGACAGUGUCAUUGGUGGCAGGUGGGACAAUGAUUACCCUUUUGCUUACUUUAGUGGUGCAUUCAGUAAACCUUUCACUUCUGAUGUACUGGGAGGGGAUACUGGUGGGUUGUGGGAAUGAAUGAGAGGUAGGGACCCCACCACAGGUGUCUGAGAAGUUUAUUGGAACUAAUAAUUCUAAUGUGGAAUUGGACGUCUAUUCGUGAGUGUGAUUAGUGAACUAGAGUAAGACAGUGGAAAACUGUUUGGUAUGAAACACUAAUUAAAGGCUAAAUGUGAAAGACAGAGAGCCUCUUUGGCAGCACAUAAAGAGACUACUCCUGCAGCUGAAGGGCAGAAAGAGCAAAGGGUCAGACCUACUGAAUAAUUGUAAGGAUGCUAGUGCCCAGAAGUGGUUGAACACCUAGCCUUGGAAAGUCUGUAAGGCUCUGGGCAAGGCCACGAUGGGGACACAGCGGACCCUAUGAUGUGGGAUGGGGAAGUCUGGGUCACUGCACUGGAAAGCCUUGAAUCCCCAGCCUCCUCUAAACCUCCUGAGCCCGCAGAAAGGCAUAUCACCCUGUUAAGGGACCAUGCUCUUCCUUUGCUUGAAAAUGACAUAGAAGCCUCUUCCAUGCAACACAAAUGAAGUUCUCUCAGGAUCUAUAUCUGUCUUACUAUUAGCCUGGCUACCAUGCUAAUAAUGAGGGUUUAAUCACAAUAGAACUCAACCAUGGAAGUGCAGGGACUGCUAAGGAAGGACAGGGAAUCUACAUGGAAAGAAUUGCAGGAACUCACCAACAUGCAUAGCAACAGCUGGGAGGAUAUAUAUGGAACUAGAUUCUGAGGGUGCCAAAUGAAGGGAAGUUAGAAUAUAACAAAGGAGAGUUUAUCACGGGAGCGUUCUUCCAUUAUACAUGAUUUAACGCCUUUGGCAAUGACCCUGGGAAAUGAUGGCUCUUGGAACUUUGAAGAAAGGGAAGGCCCACACUGAGUGAAGUAGAAAUUCCAUAACUGCUAUGGUAGACAAUGGAAAAAUAGAUCAGAAGGCUCAGAGAAGAGGGCAUUAUAUAUAGGGAAUAUAAUCCAAGGCCAGAAAGCUCGCCAACUGAUGAUGUUCUAGGGAAG